rnacentral:rRNA from 1 species
AUUGGAAGGGGUGUAUUUAUUAGAUAAAAAACCAAUGCCCUUCGGGGCUCACUGGUGAUUCAUGAUAACUCCUCGAAUCGCAUGGCCUUGUGCCGGCGAUGGUUCAUUCAAAUUUCUUCCCUAUCAACUUUCGAUGUUUGGGUAUUGGCCAAACAUGGUUGCAACGGGUAACGGAGGGUUAGGGCUCGACCCCGGAGAAGGAGCCUGAGAAACGGCUACUACAUCCAAGGAAGGCAGCAGGCGCGCAAAUUACCCAAUCCCGACACGGGGAGGUAGUGACAAUAAAUACUGAUACAGGGCUCUUUUGGGUCUUGUAAUUGGAAUGAGUACAAUUUAAAUCCCUUAACGAGGAACAAUUGGAGGGCAAGUCUGGUGCCAGCAGCCGCGGUAAUUCCAGCUCCAAUAGCGUAUAUUAAAGUUGUUGCAGUUAAAAAGCUCGUAGUUGAACCUUGGGCCUGGCUGGCCGGUCCGCCUCACCGCGUGUACUGGUCCGGCCGGGCCUUUCCUUCUGGGGAACCUCAUGCCCUUCACUGGGCGUGUUGGGGAACCAGGACUUUUAC